AUUGAACGCUGGCGGCAUGCCUUACACAUGCAAGUCGAACGGUAACGGGCCUUCGGUGCCGACGAGUGGCGAACGGGUGAGUAAUGCAUCGGAACGUACCUUUCAGUGGGGGAUAACGUAGCGAAAGUUACGCUAAUACCGCAUAUUCUGUGAGCAGGAAAGCAGGGGAUCGCAAGACCUUGCGCUGAUUGAGCGGCCGAUGUCAGAUUAGCUAGUUGGUGAGGUAAAGGCUCACCAAGGCGACGAUCUGUAGCGGGUCUGAGAGGAUGAUCCGCCACACUGGAACUGAGACACGGUCCAGACUCCUACGGGAGGCAGCAGUGGGGAAUUUUGGACAAUGGGGGCAACCCUGAUCCAGCCAUGCCGCGUGAGUGAGAA
rnacentral:rRNA from 1 species